rnacentral:lncRNA from 1 species
GACACACGCGCCGCCUGACACAAUACGCAUUCAAGCUGUAAGCGUCUCUGUAUCCACGUGCCUCAUCAUCGUCCGAGAUCACGGGUGGGAUGAUACCGCUUCUGCUAAACCCCAAAAAUCAUGGGCAGAUUUCUCCGCUUAUUCCUCCCGCCUCCUCAUGAUUGUAGACUUGGAGGGAGUCCGCUGUAGGAGACACACUCGGAGGGAACGGAGAGAGGACGGAAAGGUGCUCACUUAGGGCGAUUAUUUUUUAGAACGUGUAUUCCCCCGCAGCUGACGGUAGAAAAGAAACCUACAAAACAUUUUGGCCGCCGGGGUCCCAGAGACACGGCCGAAGAAGGAGACUGUCGCUCGAUGCUUGAUUUUUAGGCGUAGGGUCCCUCUGACAAGCAGCGGAGCUCCUGUAGAAAAUCCACCGCUGUGGCUGCCAGUGCUGUGUCUGUUGAGAGUUAGAGGCAAUGGAGCCUUUGAGGGUAGUGAAAGGUGCACUCGAUUCAAGAGACAAAACAGCUGUCUCGGGUAGCUUGCGUUCUCUCCCUUGUCCACCGACCAGGACACUGUCCAUGCGACACCGUGCUUGCGCCUGUUUUUAUUUGCGGCGGAGACCGUUCUUUAACAGAAACAACAGUCAGACGGGCACACAGAAGACAAUCGCUCGUAGACUUGAUACGAACGCACCUGGUGCUGGUCCAACACGUCCGAACGUUCUUGCUUUUGGAGGAAUGUCUGUUUUUAACCUGUGGACUACAGCUGCCAACCCUGUCGGGUUGACUCCAGUUUAUCUCGAGGCUUUCUUUUCUUCCCCUCCUCGAUAUGCACCAUGGAAAAAGCCGGCUCUUCUGCGAGGCAAUUGAAGCAAGCACGCGGUUCAGAGUGAGCUCAGCGCCGCUCCGCUUGUCGCCCAGGCAUGUGUCGGAUCCGCAGAGCGCCGGGAGAGGUCCGACGUGCGACUUUCUGACCGACUGCCUAAUCCUUUCGAGGUCGCUCGUCUGGAGGCUCAUGUUUCUGCGUCAGCGGAAGCGUUCAUUGCUAGAGCUGCUGGACGCUUGACUCCGGUGCCGACGGAACCGCAGCACGACCGGGGUUUCGUUUUGACGCGUCUGCACACGGGCAUCUUGGCACUUUACAAGGAUGCAGUUUGAAACCGUGCUGCUUUGUCGAUGGGUUCACACUGCUGAUUUUACGGCUACGAAAAACGGUUGCGCGACCAGCGCCUCUUCGAGGUCGCAAGUACUGUGGAACUCGACAGGAUGAGAAAAUUUUCUGAAUCACGCAAGCGCGUGAACGAAAGAAGAAAUCCGGCGGAAAGAGUUAGAACAGGGUCCGUCUCGUCACUGCAUGCCGCCACGCGGAGACGAACCGGGUAAAACAAAGCAAUUCACAGUCUCUCCAUUCAAAGUGACGUCGACAAACCGCGUAGAGGAAGGCACAAGACAAGCACCUCUUGACAUCCGGGCAGACCUGGGAAGGACAAAAGCGACCCGAGAUAAAAGGCGCUGCGCUUCCCAUCAAAAAGGACUGUUUGUGCAGAACGGAGCACCGCUUGAAACACGGGAGGCACAUAAGACUAAGAAGUACCGCCGACGCGAAAAAGCACGUGCAGGUGCGCCAAGAUUUCAGGAUGGGCCCGAGAGGAACACGGCUACUGAAAAAAUACCCCUGUUCGGUGACUGAGCUCAGAUUUGCAGCAGCCAGCAGAAAGAUAUCCCGCCGCUUUGGCCUGAGAGUGUAGGCGUUGCGAAAGUGACAUCAGGUGAAUGCUCCAGUCUAGUUUCCGCCGGAGGCCUCCAGGAAACAUGCUCAUCACUGGGUCGUCUGAUGUACGUGGAGCUGCCUUUCCAGCAACGGCUACCUGCUUCUCGCGCCGGUCGGCUUGCGAGAAACUACGCGAGAACACCUAGGAAAACCCGACUUGUAUGCACCGAUCUGUUGGCUUGCCAUCGCGCGCGAGUCCGUGGAAAAGACAGUGCACACAGCACAUCCAAGCAUACGCUUUCUUCGGUGUAAUCCGGCGACUGCUCUGUCUUUAGGUUACAGCCCCGCCUUCAUUUCCGCCCCGUGUGCUCAAGAGGCGUGUUUUCCCGCUACGGCGUAGGCUCCAUGAGCUUCAACCAAUCUGUCAUUUGCUCUUUCGCAACGGCAAACACCGCCGCCGUGGCCUCGUCACUGGCAUUUAAGCAGGGAAUAACUCGCAAUUCGCCUUCGCCGUUCUGAAGAAGGAAUCCAGCGAGGCAAACGAAAAAAGCGGAUCUCAGGGACGGAUAGUGAAUAAAGUGCCGACGGAACAAACACUGGCCAGAAAGCACAGAGGCACACAAACGAUAUUGAAAACGCUCCGUUUUCAACGGGAUAAACGGCACUAGUCACCGACGAAGAUGCGCGUGAAGCAAUCCAGUCGACGUAGAGACGUCGUGGCAUCUAUCCAGGACUUGCCGCGCUCCCUUUUCUACGGCUGCACAUCGCCAAGCGUCUUGGCUGUGUCUUCACAACAGGUCGGAGGCAAGUUGUCUCGCUCUGCGUUCAGGGCUCACAGCACACCCCUCGGGAUGUCAGUGAACAGUGAACCAGAGCGAAGAAGGCGGAAACGAAGGGAAAUCGGAGCCUCGAGCAGAACCGGAAAGCCGCCCGCAAAAGACCCCGGGGGGAAGUAAUGCGCACGGGAAAACGACAGAGAAGCAGGGGAACGUGGGUAGGCGCGGCGAAGGAAAACAGCACGAGAGAUCGCGACGUAGCAUGCACCAGUGAAGAAGCAAGGACGCUCAUGCCCGACAAAGCAGCGGCUACGGACAGAAAACACCGGAGACCUACGGUGAGCUGAAGAAACUUCCCGCGGUAAAUCCCAGCCAUCUCCUCAAUCGUCUCCAAGCAAUCUGUCGCGAAGCCGGGCAUCACGACAUCGACGAGACGGUAGCCAGCGCCUGCGAGCGCCUCGAGACGCUGUGCGCACGCGGAAAUUUCCACAGAACGUUCGUGCUUCACAAAGGCGCUCGCGCGCGGCCGGAGGCAAUGGAGGCCUUCGUAUGUCCUUCACCUCCGGGUCACCGAGGCUGGAGACUCGUUUUCGUCUCACAAAGAGCGAGAGCCUCGGGAUGUGACCGGAAGAACGGAGCACCAGACGCAUGCACCCAAGCAGUCGCCAACAGAAUACCUCCCGAGCGCGUGCUGUGUAGGGAAUUCUAUCUGCGCGUCCACCCGCAAACGCCCAGCUGUGAGGAACGUGGCAAGGCUCCGAGCGGUCUUGUCCGCCGCAGCGAUCGGCUGGAAACCUCUCUGGCAGUUUGGCGAGUCGGCGAAACGAAACGGCCCAUACGAACAAAGGCGCGCGCUCCACAGGUGGACACCCGCAAAUGCACGACGCCAAACCCGGUGGGGAGAACGUGUGCAGCGACUGCGUUACCUGAUCAAUGUAGGGCUGCGUCCACUCGGCAGGCCCAAAGCGCGACUGGAAAGCCACCUCGACGUCCUCCGGCUGAGAGGGGAGAAAAGGCCAGAAACACGCAACGGAUACCUGCGGAGGCCGAGCCGGCGAGGAAGCCGACGUCUUGCCGGCGUCGGUUCCUUUCCACAUUUCCCCGAUCGUUCACGCCUCGAGUUCACGGAGUUUGUCUUUCAAGCGCCUCGUAUUUCAAGGUUCGCGCUGGGGGACGGAAGGCGAAGCAACAUGUUCCCUCUUGUGCUUCCAGCAUCCGUUUGCGAGAUCUGAGACCUCGAAGCCCUCGCUGAACUGAUCCUGGCCCGACCUGCGAGUCCCAGCGAGGAACUGCCCGCUAUGUCGUUCUGACUCCACUGCAUGCUCCUGCAUUCUUUGGCCUUUCGUUUUCGCGUCCUUCCCGCCCAUCCCUGCUUUCCCCAAAAACCUCCCCCGCUCGUUUCCCUGCCUCGCAGCAGGCAGCUUCUCCCUCUCUGCGAGGCUUUUCUCUGUUCCGCCUUUCUCCUUACUUGCAUCUCCAACUGGUCCGCGACCAGCCGGGCUGUUUUCGCACAAAGACACUGGUAAAUCUCUC